rnacentral:rRNA from 1 species
GACGAACGCUGGCGGCGUGCUUAACACAUGCAAGUCGAACGGAAAGGCCCUGCUUUUGUGGGGUGCUCGAGUGGCGAACGGGUGAGUAACACGUGAGUAACCUGCCCUUGACUUUGGGAUAACUUCAGGAAACUGGGGCUAAUACCGUAUAGGAGCUCCUGCUGCAUGGUGGGGGUUGGAUCGUUUCGGCGGUUGGGGAUGGACUCGCGGCUUAUCAGCUUGUUGGUGGGGUAGUGGCUUACCAAGGCUUUGACGGGUAGCCGGCCUGAGAGGGUGACCGGCCACAAUGGGACUGAGAUACGGCCCAGACUCCUACGGGAGGCAGCAGUGGGGAAUAUUGCACAAUGGGCGGAAGCCUGAUGCAGCAACGCCGCGUGCGGGAUGACGGCCUUCGGGGUGUAAACCGCUUUCGCCUGUGACGAAGCGUGAGUGACGGUAAUGGAUAAAGAAGCACCGGCUAACUACGUG